AACGAACGCUGGCGGCAUGCCUAACAUAUGCAAGUCGAACGAGACCUUCGGGUCUAGUGGCGCACGGGUGCGUAACGCGUGGGAACCUGCCCUUAGGCUCGGAAUAACUCCCCGAAAGGGGUGCUAAUACCGGAUAAUGUCUUCGGACCAAAGAUUUAUCGCCUUUGGAUGGGCCCGCGUUGGAUUAGCUAGUUGGUAGGGUAAAAGCCUACCAAGGCGACGAUCCAUAGCUGGUCUGAGAGGAUGAUCAGCCACACUGGGACUGAGACACGGCCCAGACUCCUACGGGAGGCAGCAGUGGGGAAUAUUGGACAAUGGGCGAAAGCCUGAUCCAGCAAUGCCGCGUGAGUGAUGAAGGCCUUAGGGUUGUAAAGCUCUUUUACCCGGGAUGAUAAUGACAGUACCGGGAGAAUAAGCUCCGGCUAACUCCGUG
rnacentral:rRNA from 1 species